rnacentral:siRNA from 1 species
UGUGGCUAAGUGUUGUGGCUU